AUGGUAUAAUAAAAUCGGAGGCCACGACUGUUUACUAAAAACACAAUUCAGAGCAAUAAUUAAGAUAAUAGUAUUCUGGAUGAAAUUUGCUCAAUGCCAUUAAUAUAAAAGAGGUAAUUUUAAAGUUACUAAUUGAAAGUCUGGUUAAUAGCGGUCUUAACUAUGAGGAUCCUAAGGUAGCAAAAUAAAUUGGCCAUUAAAUGUGGUCUUGUAUCAAUAAUGUAACGAUGGUCUCACUGUCUCUACAACUUGCUCAGUGAAAUUGAAUUGCGAGUGCAGAUGCUCGCUGUCUUCAGGGGGACGGGAAGACCCUAUGCAGCUUCUAC
rnacentral:rRNA from 1 species